UGCGGAUUUGUGUAAAGGUAGCACUAACGACUCUGACUCGUUCUGUCCGGGUUCGAAUCCUGGAUCCGCAG
rnacentral:tRNA from 1 species